GCACAGAUUGCAAAGACAUCUACCCAAACCCACAAUCUCCUCUGUGAUUAUACAACCCCAUCGCAAUCUAGUCCACUCUCAUUGCACGAAUAGCUACAAACUCGACAUUGCGUACAUUCACUCAAAAUUCCGAGAAAAAAAUGCAGCUCUUAUACAUCGAUGCCUACUUUCCCAGAAUCUGCAGAAGACAACUGAUUUUUCGAGUGAAGCCCCUACCACGAACCGGCCAGCUGAAGUCCCGAUCACCUCAUAGCUUUUCUGAAACACUGCCAUGGACGGAAUCUGCCUCAGGCUCCGCUCCCAGACCUGACAGAAGUUACACCACCAUUCCAUCCAAAACUCUGCCCCCUGGCCCAUCCACAAUUAUUGAUUACCAUUCCCUCAGCAAUCAGAUGCAUGAUGAAAGAGGGGAAGGGCCUGGGGGAGGAGGCUGCUGUCAGUGCCUGUGAGGAGAGCGGGGUCCAUGGAUGUCGUCACUGUCAUAGUUAUCAGGGCGGAGUGGGUGUGAUACACGCGUGAUGAGACGCAGCACACAUGAGAACCGAGGGUCUCCUCUCUCCUUAUUACACUCUGGUUCCCAUGGUGACUGUUUAGCCGUGGUUGCUUAGUGACAACGGAAGUGGAAGCAGGCUACGUCAGUGCAGCCUCCCAUGUGACCAGGGUUUUAGAGAGCCGCAACAUCCGGUCCCAGGGACCCGACGGCAUGGGGGAACGGGAAUGGUCCUAUUCAAACACAGGACUUGUGAAGGACAGAUCAUGUCAAACCAACUUACUUGGCUUUUAUGAAACGGCCAAAGGCUGCAGCGAACUGGAUGGUUACUAAGCGACAGAGCAGCAGCACAAAUACGUGGCCGUGUAUAGCAUAAUCUAUGAAACAUUGCAACACAGCGGUGCAAAAACGAAAAAGAGAUGUAAAAUGGAAUUUUCCUUGGGACCUCCUUCCCAUACUUAUGUUGGAUAUGAAGAAGGACAUGCACCGUUAAACGAAUACUGACUGAUACUUUUGUGGCUGAAGUGCCUGCUCUGUUUGGGCCUCCACAAAACAUUUUUUUGGAAGGACUACCUCCGAUCACUGAUGAGGAUCUUGAUGAUAAGGACGUUAAUUACAUUAUAAUCUUCUACAAUAAAUUUCAUGAACUCACCGUUUUUGCCUAUGCAUUGCAUGAACGACAGGUAAAUGUACAUAUGAGAACUGAGCCUUUAUGUUCGUUACCUAUCUAUAUACAUAUAUAAAGUACUGUACAUUUAAAUGCAGGAAACAGACAAAAUCUUGGUAAAAGGAUACCCAUCAGUAAUAAAUUGGUAAGCAGUAACCUUAACUUAGUAGAACAUUAACAGAUUGUCAGGUAUGAAAUUGAAAGCUGUUUUAUCUAUAUAUAUAUAAAUGUGAAAUGAAAUUCCUCACUCACUCACUCACUCACUCACUCACUCACUCACUCACUCACACACUCACUCACUCAUCACUAAUUCUCUUACUUCCCAAUAUGUUAGGAAGCUGAAAUCUAACAUAGGUAUUCUUCAGGUGGGAAAUAGGAAAAUUAAGUAACUAGAAUUUUAAUAAACCACCCCUAAGGGGAUGAAAAGGGGGUUGACAUAAUGACAUCAUUACCGAUGUGUGGCUUGCAUUCCCUGAACGAUAACGCUGAAACGGACAAUCGGAUCAAAAUUUGGAUUGCACCUCCAGUGUGCAGAAUUUAAUAAACUACAAAAAUGGUCCUGUCACUUUUUACUGUAUCUGCUACGGGUGCACCUCGGGUAACGCCAAGAAACAUGGAUUAAUAUUUACUUACAUUAAGACGUUUCAAAUUUACAUUUUUAUAGAUUUACCAAAUUUUUAACACUCAUUUAUAUGUAGAACCGUGAAAAUCAGAAACUCCUAUGCGAAGAACGGGUAGAACAGCUAGUAUAUGAUUCUUUUUUGUGUGUUCAGAUUUUCGUUGUUUACAGAUUUUCUUAAACUUUAUACACAGACUCAGUAAUACUAAUACCGGAUGACUCAUCAGUAUAUUAUUUAAAUGCAAU